rnacentral:rRNA from 1 species
CCAAUAGCGUAUAUUAAAGUUGUUGCAGUUAAAAAGCUCGUAGUUGAAUUUCGGGAUCAGUACGUUGGUCGUGCCUUGGUAUGUACUGGCGUCACUGAUUCCUCCCUUCUGAAGAACCGUCAUGCCAUUCAGUUGGUGUGGCGGGGAAUCAGGACUGUUACUUUGAAAAAAUUAGAGUGUUUAAAGCAGGCUCGCGCUUGAAUACAUUAGCAUGGAAUAAUGAAAUAGGACGUUAACCCUAUUUUGUUGGUUUCUAGGAUCGACGUAAUGAUUAAUAGGGAUAGUUGGGGGCAUUAGUAUUCAAUUGUCAGAGGUGAAAUUCUUGGAUUUAUUGAAGACUAACUACUGCGAAAGCAUUUGCCAAGGAUGUUUUCAUUAAUCAAGAACGAAAGUUAGGGGAUCGAAGACGAUCAGAUACCGUCGUAGUCUUAACCAUAAACUAUGCCGACUAGGGAUCGGAUGAUGUUAAUUUUUUAAUGACUCAUUCGGCGCCUUACG